rnacentral:rRNA from 1 species
GGGAUAACAUUUGGAAACAGAUGCUAAUACCGCAUAAAUCCAAGAACCGCAUGGUUCUUGGCUGAAAGAUGGCGUAAGCUAUCGCUUUUGGAUGGACCCGCGGCGUAUUAGCUAGUUGGUGAGGUAACGGCUCACCAAGGCAAUGAUACGUAGCCGAACUGAGAGGUUGAUCGGCCACAUUGGGACUGAGACACGGCCCAAACUCCUACGGGAGGCAGCAGUAGGGAAUCUUCCACAAUGGACGCAAGUCUGAUGGAGCAACGCCGCGUGAGUGAAGAAGGCUUUCGGGUCGUAAAACUCUGUUGUUGGAGAAGAAUGGUCGGCAGAGUAACUGUUGUCGGCGUGACGGUAUCCAACCAGAAAGCCACGGCUAACUACGUGCCAGCAGCCGCGGUAAUACGUAGGUGGCAAGCGUUAUCCGGAUUUAUUGGGCGUAAAGCGAGCGCAGGCGGUUUUUUAAGUCUGAUGUGAAAGCCCUCGGCUUAACCGAGGAAGUGCAUCGGAAACUGGGAAACUUGAGUGCAGAAGAGGACAGUGGAACUCCAUGUGUAGCGGUGAAAUGCGUAGAUAUAUGGAAGAACACCAGUGGCGAAGGCGGCUGUCUGGUCUGUAACUGACGCUGAGGCUCGAAAGCAUGGGUAGCGAACAGGAUUAGAUACCCUGGUAGUCCAUGCCGUAAACGAUGAAUGCUAGGUGUUGGAGGGUUUCCGCCCUUCAGUGCCGCAGCUAACGCAUUAAGCAUUCCGCCUGGGGAGUACGACCGCAAGGUUGAAACUCAAAGGAAUUGACGGGGGCCCGCACAAGCGGUGGAGCAUGUGGUUUAAUUCGAAGCAACGCGAAGAACCUUACCAGGUCUUGACAUCUUUUGAUCACCUGAGAGAUCAGGUUUCCCCUUCGGGGGCAAAAUGACAGGUGGUGCAUGGUUGUCGUCAGCUCGUGUCGUGAGAUGUUGGGUUAAGUCCCGCAACGAGCGCAACCCUUAUGACUAGUUGCCAGCAUUUAGUUGGGCACUCUAGUAAGACUGCCGGUGACAAACCGGAGGAAGGUGGGGAUGACGUCAAAUCAUCAUGCCCCUUAUGACCUGGGCUACACACGUGCUACAAUGGAUGGUACAACGAGU